rnacentral:rRNA from 1 species
UACGUAGGGUGCAAGCGUUAAUCGGAAUUACUGGGCGUAAAGCGUGCGCAGGCGGUUCUGUAAGUCUGUCGUGAAAUCCCCGGGCUUAACCUGGGAAUUGCGAUGGAGACUGCAAGGCUAGAAUCUGGCAGAGGGGGGUAGAAUUCCACGUGUAGCAGUGAAAUGCGUAGAGAUGUGGAGGAACACCGAUGGCGAAGGCAGCCCCCUGGGGUCAAGAUUGACGCU